CAAUGACCUCCACUGACCUCCAGGGUCAAAGAAGAGAUGGAAAAGAAAGGUCAGGAGGCUUCUGCCUUAGUGCUGAUCUUGGCUCAGAAGUGGAGGGGGGCAGGAGAAAUGCUGAUGCAGGGUGGGUGUCUCUCCAUCACAGCUGUGCUCCAUGAGUUGACUCAGAGAUCUAGGAAACUUCCAUCCUGCAGUUCCGUUCUUCUCAGGACGUGGCCUCCGAGAUCCUCAGAACAGGAACAGAGAGCCAUGGGGAGUCGAGGCAGCCUUUCCAGGUUUCAGUUCAAACGCUGCUGUUCAAAGUCUUUGGGCCCAUCCUUGUCACAUGGCCCCAGGCUAACGCUAAGGAAAAAAUUGUACAAUGGCAGAUAAAAUGAUGUUUCAAGGUCUCUGUGUCUGCUACUAUCCCCUAAAAAUUAUGUGCCCACCCUUAUUAAAAUAAUUUUGUUUUAAUAGUAAAAUAUUAAUGUGAUACAAAAAACAAAAGUACACGCAAAGAUACAUUCAGAGAAGUUUUAUCUUCUACUCCAUCCCUUCAACCUUGUUCUAACUAACUUAAGGAGUAAGUUUUCAAUAGGCUAUAUAUCCUGUGUUUAUGUUAUCAAAUAAAUCUAUUCUUGUUGUUACAAUACUAAAAA